UGAGCCUGCGGGGCGGCUCCCCUCACCCGCCCCCUUCGGGUCCUUCCGAGCUCCGCCCUACACGGCCCAGGGGUGCCAGUCUCGCUGCCGCCGCUACCGCCCGCGCGCUGCACUCGGGAGAGCGUCCCUGCGCGCACUGGGCGCACCAUGGCCCGCGGGUCCGCGCUGGCGCUGCUGCUGCUCCUCGGCCUGCUCGGCGCUUUGGUGGCCGCCCCGGGCUGGGAAACCAGAAGUCGACAGGAGGAGGGUGGAGAGGCUGCAUCUCACAACCCGCUUGGUUGGGGAUUCCGCUGAGGAUUUUGCCUCCUGAAGCAAAGCAUGGAACCCCGGUGGUGACUCCAUGGCCUGACAGUCCUGUGUUUCCUAAUGCACGCCCGAGGUCAAAGAGACUUUGACUUGGCAGAUGCCCUUGAUGAGCCUGGAGAUUGCAGACGCCUUGAGACAAAUGUUUACACAGUCUCUAAAAGUCUCAGACUCGUUUCUAGAACCCACCAAGAAGCCAAACUCAGGUACUCAGGAGGCCGAGGCAUGAGAAUCGCUUGAGCUCGGGAGGUGGAGAUUGCAGUGAUAGCGCCAUUGCACUCCAGGUAGGCUAUAGAGUGAGACUUCAUCUCAAAGAAAAAGCAUAACCUUUAAAAAUGUGUAAAUUAGACGAUGUCUACAUUUUUUAAAUAACAAUAAUAAUGUUACGACUUUGAGCUCUAAAAAGUCAGAUUAGCUGUCAAAUGGAGGCUCCUUGCUGCUUAUAUCACCAGGGAAGAAACUUUAAUAUGCAAAUACAGUCACCCUUUAUUGUUCGUGGGCACUAGUUGUAGGACCCCUGCUUCCCUGCAGACACCUAAAUCUACAGGUGCUGAAGUCCCUGAUAUAAAAUGGUGUAGUAUUUGCAUACAAUGCAAGUAUAUGUUCCUGUAUCUUUUGAUUUAUUUAUUUAUUUGACCCAGAAUCUCACUCUUAUCCAGGCUGAAGUGCAGUGGCAUGAUUUUGGCUCACUGUAACCUCCACCUCCCAGGUUCAAGAGAUUCUCGUGACUCAGCCUCCAAGUAGCUGGGAUUAUAGGGUAUUCGCCACCACUCCCAGCUGAUUUUUGUAUUUUUAGUAGAGACAGGUUUUAAUCAUGUUGCCCAGGCUGGUUCCAAACUCCUGACCUCAAGUGAUCUGCCCACCCCGGACUCCCAACGUGCUGGGAUUACAGGUGUGAGCCACUGCUCCCUGCGUGAAAUAUUUUCAAUACACGCAUAACCUGGCUUGUAGUCCCAGCUACUCAGGAGGCUGAGGCACAAGAAUCGCUUGAGCUCGGGAGGUGGAGUUUCCAGUGAGUGGAGAUCAUGCCAUUGGAUCUACAGAUGCGGAAAUUCUGGUCAGAGAGCACAAAUUGUGGAUACAUAGCUCCUACCCCAAAACAGAAGGAUGGCAAAAAGAAAGAAAAAAAAUGGACGAGAGCGACUAUGAGGGAACUGAGAGGGUUAUGAUCAUUCCAUUUGCUGAAAGAAAAAUUCAAAGACAGAAUCACACACAGUUGACCAAAAUGGAUAAAACAAGUCUACUGGGGUGGGCAGCGGCGGUGGUGCCCUGGGAGGCGAGAGAGACGGAGAUGGUGUUGGUUUCAGACAAGAUAGUUGCACAGGAACUCGAUAGGGAAAAGGGGAAUGGGUUGUGGGGACCAGGGGAGCUGGAAUUCUGCCUGGGGAAUCAGCCAGUGCCAACGGGUGAACCAGGGGAGGGCAGGUGUAGGGUACAGCCCUAUGGGGCUCUGUGAGCCCCUCCCUGCUGGUUUGAAGACAAGAAAUUGUAGAAAUAAAAGGCACAAGACAUGGAGAUUGAGAAAAGAGAGUUUGGGCCCAGGGGUCCACAGCUACUCAGAUCGUGGAGACCAGCAGUGGCCCCAAAUGCUGGGACGCCCUGACUUUUAUUGAGUUGCAAAUCUGGGGGCAGGGAAGGUAGGGCAUAGGUAGGGCGUGGUCCUGGUGGUGGGUGACUGGGGACAGGGCAAAAUAGGGCAUGGCAUACAGGUGGGGGCUCAGGAAUUGAUGGCACCCCAAGUGAGGUAAGGAGCAUAAUGCAGCACCUUUCCCAUACUUACCAAGAAAGAACUAAAGCAUUAAGGUUUGUGCUACUAUUACUGAUUAUCUUUUCUAAGAAAAGGGGAACCAGGUGCAGAAGCAGAGCAUGAGUAGCCAUGGAACAUGACCCCUGAAGCACAGCACCACACAGGGACAAUUAAGUCCCGGGAUGUCCGCGGGCCUCCCUGACAGCGGUCAGGCUUACCACGAGAGCUUGGAGAAGCGGAGUUUUCUCCUCACUCCCUUGAGGAAGGAGACGUCUUGGCCAUCUUGGACAUCUCCUUCCCUGGCUGGCUAAACAGCAGGUGCUUUCACAGCGCUGACACUGUCGCACAGCUGAGGCACCCUCCAGCAGCUCUUUUUGCAGGCGUGACAGAGGACAUAAAGCAUCUUGCCUUAGGGUCAUUCAUUCCACGAUGUCACCCCAGGUUCACACUUCCAACCUGAGAGGCAUUAGUAAAAGAAUUAAGAUCACCUAUAAAUAACUAAGAUUGCAUAUGAGUAACUACUAACUACGAACUACUGUUCAUUUCUAGUUACUUUCUUCUUCAUUAUAUAUAGGGAGAUAGGCUGAGGCCUUCUGCUCCUGCCUCCGCAGUUAUGGGGUCUUUUCCCUACAGGCAGGGGGUUAGGAGCCUGCCUAUGGUGAUGCUGAAGCCCCGGGGCGGGUGCCUAGUUGAAGGGCCAAGAGGAGCCGUCAGGAGAGAAGGAAAAGCCCCGAGUCUCCUUCAGGCUUGUUUCAGGACUCGGGGCAGGAUAGGAGAUGAUGGUGGAGGAUUCUGAGCAGGGGACGGCCUGGGUGGGAGCGGGACAGAAGGAGAGCUGGACAGGGACGGGGUGACAGGCGACACCGGCUCAUCCAGGAAGGAAGGCCAGGAGGGAGCAGAGGGAAAAGGGGCGUGCAAAGGUACAGAGCAGGAGCAACGGGGACAUCCAGGGAAGGAGGGAAGUGCAGGGCAUUGUGAGACGGGGCACCCUGAGAGAGGGGUCCAGGCAGCAGGAAGACACCACAGCCUGAGCUAUACCCCAGCUCACGGUCAGCCCUGGGAGGGCUUUGAGCAGAAGAGGGGCGAGAGCCCACACCUUGAGGCCACCUGCCGCGGUCCUGGGCCCUGCACAUGCCUCCUACAGGCUGGGCGGCUGCCCACGAGGUCAUUUAAUGCCUGGUGCCUGCGGGCAUCCUGCCAAGAGCCCGUUGGCAUCGGCAUCGCAAUGCUGUCCUCCAAAACCUGCCCCAGUGUCCCCAACGCAGACCUGCUGUGAAGGGGACCUCUGGAGAGGACGCGUUAGCAAUGCCGUGUGCUCUGCCCACAGGUUAUUUCAAUGAUGGGGACCGCAAUGACUGACACUACCCACCCAGGCCCAGGCCACCUGCAGGUGAAUGUCUACCAAGAAUCUUUCAUAUGGAAAUGCAAGCAUGGACAAUAGGAGGCAGAGAUGCAUGCAACACUGGGCUGAAGAGUGUGACGUUUGAGGCUUUAGUUUCAAGCACAUGAGGUUUCUGGUGUGUUUAGUUCUGCAGCUCUCCUUUAGAAGACAUAAAGGACUUGUCCUAGAUAUUUUGCAAGGCAGAGCUGGGCAUGUAUCCUUCAGACACCCUGAUUGCAUCCAGUCAUCUAUUCUGCCACGUUUGCUUGCAGUAAAUAAGGAGCAUUGUCUUGGAAUUUAUGACAUUUACAAUCAGGAAUAAACGAAAAUAACUAGUUAUUUUUGAGAAGAGAAACUAAGAUAUUUGUGAUUGAGACCAUCUUCUGGAAGGUCCUUCUAAUCCUGCCUCCCUGUGGCUGUUCUCAUAUCGGUUUCUCAGCAGGAAGAGGGUUAGCCUGCAGGAAUUUGGAGUUGGCAGAGAGGCGGCAGCGGUGGUUACUCCAGUUAUGACACCGGCGACACACACGGUGGAGAUCACCAUUUGGGGCAUGCCUCCUCAGAAGGCAAUAUGGCGGCAAAAAUCGUGUCUCCCAUUGUAUCCGUGGUGGUGGUGACACUGCUGGGAGCAGCAGCCAGUUAUUUCAGACUCAACAGUAGGAGGAAUUGUUUCAGGACCCGUGAACCAGAAAAUGUCUGAAGAUUUUAAGAUCCCCUGAUUACUUUGAGCAAAACUCAAGCAAAACAAGAACCCUGUUUAUCACUGUUGUAGAAAUUUCCUUUUAUUCUUGACAGAAUUUGAUGAGCUAAAGUGUGUUUUCUUCUGUGUGAAGUACAUGAGCUGCCUAACUCAUUGGAUGUGAUGUGGUUAUAAAGAUGAGUUAGGCAGCUAGACCCUGCAUUGUAGAAAGAAAUUGCUUUCUCUGUCCAUUUGUCAUUCAUUCACACACAGAGACUGUGGCUCUCUGUUCCGAAAACUUCAGGUACUUCAUGGUGCAGUAAUGCACACACGCUUCACCAUGGUGAUGUGACACAGCAGGAAGCAUGAGGGAGGCACAGGAUCUUGGUGGGGAGGAGAUUUUAUCAGCUUCUCGGAGGUGAAGAAUAUUGUUGAGGUUCCAAGGAUGCUGGACCUACACUAAAUUCUUCAGCGAUGUCCAAAAUCAUGGGGCAUUCGUCAUUGCUAAUGAAGUGGGUAUGAAUUAUUUAUGACACCCACAAGCAAGGUUUGAACCUCCUUUCAGCUCUGUUGUAUCUGAACGUAAAGUUAUUAUUGAGAAAAUAAGGCUGCAUUUUGAAAUGUUCAGUGCAGAACGACUUAUGUUAAAACCAUCUGGGGGAAAUUUUGGGAUAGUUUUUCCCGGGAAAUCAUAUAGUUUUGAUGUGUUUUGGCACAUAGGAGACAGAAAUGGUGAUUAUCAGAAGUAUUUUCAGUCUUUGAAAUUCUGUAACUACUGGUUCCUAGGGCAAAAACAUUGCUUUCCUUGCUUUAAACUUUUUCAGUUCACCAGAGUAGGAAGUCUUAAAUCCCCAGACGUCCAGGAAGAUGCCAGCUAUUUGUUUCUCUUUUAGAAACACUUGUGGGCAGAGGGAAAAGGGUGGUUUGGGCCCAUUUGCACAGAUUGAUUAAACUACAGUUAAUGUUCAUAAAACAUUUAGAUCUUGCCCUAAAUAUCAGAACCAAAGAUUUAGACGUUCAUGUACACUCUGGAAUGUACAUACAGGACCCAUAAAAAUUUCCAGUAUUUAUGCUUUGUGCUCCCCAUUAUGAAUUGGGGUCUUCAAAGAGGGAAGGGUGAAAGUGGAAGCCACUUAAAAGAGCUCCCCAAUUUGUAAAAUACCUUCAACUAAGAAUUCACAUUAGGUCACUCAGAGUUGUGUGUCAAAUUGUGGAUUCAUGCAUAAUGCGUGCAAUUUGAAGACAGCCCGUAUUUCCUGUCUCAGUAUUCGGUCCUGCAACACUUUUUAAUUGUCGUAGAAGUUCUCUUGUAGAAAUGGUGAGGUCUGAUGCUUCAUUACUAUUUUCUCUAUAAGAAUUUCAACAUGAGCUUAAUUAAAUUCUUGUGAAAAAGUCUUUGCAUUUUUAGUAACAUACACACACACACACACACACACAGCCCUACUUAAAUGGAAUCUAAACAUUUUAAGCCUUUAAUCCAUUCCAUUGUCUAAACUGUCAUAAACGAUUUUUAAUCAUUUUAAAUAAAAGUAAGAGAAAAAAUACUGGA